AGAAUGAACGCUGGCGACGCGCCUAAUACAUGCAAGUCGAACGAGAAGACGUAGCAAUACGUUUGUAAAGCGGCGAACGGGUGAGGAAUACAUGGGUAACCUACCCUCGAGUGGGGAAUAACUAGCCGAAAGGUUAGCUAAUACCGCGUACGCUUCUUGGACUUCGGUUCAGGGAGGAAAGCGAUGCCAAGGGUAUCGCGCUCUUGGAUGGGCUCAUGUCCUAUCAGCUUGUUGGUGAGGUAACGGCUCACCAAGGACUUCGACGGGUAGCUGGUCUGAGAGGACGAUCAGCCACACUGGCACUGCGACACGGGCCAGACUCCUACGGGAGCAGCAGUAAGGAUAUUGCGCAAUGGGCAAAGCCUGACGCAGCGACGCCGCGUGGAGGAUGAAGGUCUUCGGAUUGUAAACCCUUUCGGGAGGAAGAUGGAAUGGGUAACCCAGUUCGGACGUACCUCAGAAGCAGCCACGGCUAACGUCGUCGACCAACGACGACCGCGUAACGUCUA
rnacentral:rRNA from 1 species